AUGUGAUCGUCUCUCGCAUAUCAAUAAGCGGAGGAAAAGAAACUAACAAGGAUUCCCCUAGUAACGGCGAGUGAAGCGGGAAGAGCUCAAAUUUGAAAUCUUAAAGGGUUUCCCUUUACGAAUUGUAGUUUAAAGAAGUGUUUUCUGUUGAGGUUUUGGUAAAAGUUCUUUGGAAUAGGACAUCAUAGAGGGUGAGAAUCCCGUAUUUGACCUUUACUUUCAACUUUGUGAUACACUUUCAAAGAGUCGGAUUGUUUGGGAGUGCAGUCCAAAAUGGGUGGUAAAUUUCAUCUAAAGCUAAAUAUUGGCGAGAGACCGAUAGCGAACAAGUACCGUGAGGGAAAGAUGAAAAGAACUUUGAAAAGAGAGUUAAACAGUACGUGAAAUUGUCAAAAGGGAAGCGUUUGACACCAGUGUUGUUUUUCUGGAAAAUCAAUUAAAGAACUGUUUAUGCUAAGCUGUUUAGACUUUAUCAGCUAACUGUUUAGUUUUGAGCUUUUCUUUAAUGCACUUUUCAGUUAACAAGUCAACAUCAAUUUCUUUUGCUGUAAAAAAGCUUGAGGAAGGUGGCUUGAGAUUCGUCUUAAGUGUUUAUAGCCUCUUGCCUAUGCAGUCGGAGAGAUUGAGGUCUGCAGCGUAGAUCCUUCGGGGCUAAAUGCAUUUGUGCUAAGUUAUAGCAUUUUAUAGACAACUUGUUGACUAUGAUUUGUCUUGUAGCUUACUCGCUUAUGUUAUUUUACCUACGCUUAGGAUGUUGAGUAGCGACAUACGCAC
rnacentral:rRNA from 1 species